rnacentral:rRNA from 1 species
AUUGAACGCUAGCGGGAUGCCUUACACAUGCAAGUCGAACGGAGUGGCGAACGGGUGAGUAAUGUAACGGUACGUGCCCAGUAGCGAGGGAUAACUACGCGACAGCGUAACUAAUACCGCAUACUAUUGGAGCGGCCGAUAUCGGAUUGGCUUGUUGGUGGGGUAACGGCUCACCAAGGCGACGAUCCGUAGCUGGUUUGAGAGGACGACCAGCCACACUGGGACUGAGACACGGCCCAGACUCCUACGGGAGGCAGCAGUGGGGAAUUUUGGACAAUGGGGGAAACCCUGAUCCAGCCAUCCCGCGUGUGCGAUGAAGGCCUUCGGGUUGUAAAGCACUUUUGGCAGGAAAGCGGUACCUGCAGAAGAAGCACCGGCUAACUACGGGCCAGCAGCCGCGGUAAUAC